rnacentral:rRNA from 1 species
CCAAUAGCGUAUAUUAAAGUUGCUGCAGUUAAAAAGCUCGUAGUUGAAUUUCGGGACUAAUAUGUCGGUCGUGCUUCGGUACGUACUGGCAUCGUUGGUUUCUCCCUUCUGACGAACCAUGAUGUCAUUUAUUUGGUGUCGUGGGGAAUCAGGACUGUUACUUUGAAAAAAUUAGAGUGUUUAAAGCAGGCUCACGCUUGAAUACAUUAGCAUGGAAUAAUGAAAUAGGACGUUUGAUUCUAUUUUGUUGGUUUCUAGGAUCGACGUAAUGAUUAAUAGGGAUAGUUGGGGGCAUUAGUAUUCAAUUGUCAGAGGUGAAAUUCUUGGAUUUAUUGAAGACUAACUACUGCGAAAGCAUUUGCCAAGGAUGUUUUCAUUAAUCAAGAACGAAAGUUAGGGGAUCGAAGACGAUCAGAUACCGUCGUAGUCUUAACCAUAAACUAUGCCGACUAGGGAUCGGAUGAUGUUAAUUUUUUAAUGACUCAUUCGGCGCCUUACG